rnacentral:lncRNA from 1 species
AGCCUGGCUCCGCGCCAGGCACAGGGUCGUUGGCGAGGUCCUCGCAGCGCCCCCUCCUGAUCCCAGCCACGCGAUUUUCGCUCCCGCGCCCCCUUGACAGGUCUCAAGCUCCCCAGCACCCCAGGGGAAGCGGCCACAGGACUAGGGAAGUGUCUGCCAAUGGCUGGAGACGCAGUGGAGAGCCGGGGCAGACUAGAAGCGACCUGUGUCCGAUCCGCACCCAGAUGCCACCAGAGGAGGGGAAGCCGGAGUAAUUUCUGUGGGGAGGCACUAAGAGGACAGCGGGGUCACCCUGCCAUCGCCGCACGUGAGCGAGAGACUCCGAACCACAUCUUUCAGAAGGCCUCCGGACAAGGAGGGCACGCUGAGACAGACGAUAGGAAAGCAGAGAUAGAAGAUGAUCAUGCUUAUUUUUUUAUUUUUUUGGUACCGGGGAUCUAAAAGAAGAUGAUGAUGAUGAAGAACAAGAGGAGGAGGAGGAGGACGAGGAGGAAGGAAGGAAGGAAGGAAGGAAGGAAGGAAGGAAGGAAGGAAGGAAGGAAGGAAAGGAAGAGGAGGAGGAGGAGCAGAAAAAAAUUUAGGAGAAAAAAAAAAAACACAAACCAAGAAGCACGGAGUGAAAAGGCCAGUAGAUAAACAGAACAUUUUAAAACCUUGCCAGGAAAUGAAGUUGAAAAACUGGAAGAGCACUUUUGUCAAAUGACGGGUGAAACCUGGAAGUUAACCAGUGGUCACAAACUUGAGGGUGAUGAAGAUUUGGUGCUUGAAAAUGUGGGCCAGACAUCUUUUGAAACGUCAAACACAGAAGCCGCUAAGAGAUGAAAUUUGCCUAAUCCUUUAACCAAAGUUCUGCCACCUGCUGACCAGCCAUACUUACCUGAAGAACCUUCUGAAACAGCUAAAGUAGUUACUGUUGCUCUGCGAUGUCCAAAUGGGAGAAUCCUGCGGAGGUUUUUUUAAGUCUUGCACUUCACAGGUUUUAUUUGCCUGGAUGAUAAAAAUCGGGUACCACACAUCCCUAUACAGCCUUUUCACUUCCUUUCCCAGAAGACUUCUGAAAGUAGAGGGAGGCUGGCCACUGGCUGACAUAGGAAUAACUAUGGAUUAUCUGCUCAUGGUGGAAGAGAAAGAACAGAGCAACUAGUAAAGAAAUAAGAAUUACCUGCUCUACAUUAAAUCAGUUUACUGUGACCUAAUAGUUCAGUAACAGAUUCAUGUUAAAAUCAUGCUGUACCUUGACUGCACUUAAGACAGUAAACAUUUUAAAUUGAUACACAUAGGAAUAUAUUGAUGUAAAGGAUUGAAAAGGAUUCAUUUCUGCAUUUAAGUUUUGGGCUGUGCCAUCUUAUAAUGUACCAAAUAAGAAUGGGGUAACAAUUAUUUGCAAAUAUUUUCUCCCUCUCUGUGGCUUAUCCUUUCUUUUUCUCUUUCUUUCUUUCCUUCCUUCCUCCCCGCCCCCCUUCUUUCUUUCUUUUUUUUGUACCAAGGAUCAAACUUGGGACCUUGCUAGGCAGAGAAUGGAGUAACAAUGUACACAAGAAGGCACUAAAUUUAUACUUCUUAACUCCCAUCAUUUCUCACUAUGUUAAAAACAUUUUGCCUUCUGCCUCUUUAAUCCUUAACCACAUAGUGACUAUUUUACAGUUCAUUCAGACCUUUCAAAAUCAUGUAAGUAGGAGUCUUUAUUCUACAGUAUUUAAGUUCAAAAACUUAAGUUCUUUAAGGCUUUACUGUUCUUUUGAAAAGUAUGUAUUAUUGUUUACUUGACUGAUGUCUGCAAUGUGUAUAGUUUUACCUUGUAUUAAUUGCAACAUUUACAAAGUUCCAGGUGGAAAACUAUGAAAGCUUUAAAACAUUGGUGAAUUUAAAAAAGAAUAAACCAUUUUAAAGAAGCUUCCUUUGAUCCAAAUUUAUGGUAGCGCGUAAAAAAGUUUAGAACACUUAACUAGAUAAUCUUUUUCUAAUUCCAACAUUUCUGUUUAAAUCUUACUAGGAAGAAAAGGGGCAAAGGGGAAGAGGAAUAGGGAGGGGUAGGGGAAAGGAAAGAAGGGAAUAGAAUAUGAGAAAAUGAAAAAUGGAAACAAAGUCUUUGUAAAUAGG